AUUGAACGCUGGCGGAAUGCUUUACACAUGCAAGUCGAACGGCAGCACGGAGAGCUUGCUCUCUGGUGGCGAGUGGCGAACGGGUGAGUAAUAUAUCGGAACGUGUCCAAUAAUGGGGGAUAACGAGUCGAAAGAUUCGCUAAUACCGCAUACGCCCUACGGGGGAAAGCAGGGGAUCGUAAGACCUUGCGUUAAUGGAGCGGCCGAUAUCUGAUUAGCUUGUUGGUGAGGUAAAGGCUCACCAAGGCGACGAUCAGUAGCUGGUUUGAGAGAACGACCAGCCACACUGGAACUGAGACACGGUCCAGACUCCUACGGGAGGCAGCAGUGGGGAAUUUUGGACAAUGGGGGGCAACCCUGAUCCAGCCAUUCCGCGUGAGUGAAGAAGGCCUGGUUGUAAGACUCUUUCGUCAAGGAAGAAAACUUAUGAUCGAAUAAAUACAUGAGG
rnacentral:rRNA from 1 species